rnacentral:lncRNA from 1 species
CCAGGUGCCCCCAGGUGCGCCCAGGUGCCCCCAGGUGCGCCCAGGUGCGUCAGUCGCCGCCGUUGGCGCGGAUGGUGCGGCGGAUCCAGGCGGUGAAGGCGCACACCCGGCUGUACACACCUGGCUUGCCCUGCUGGCCGCACACCUGCAGCCCCCAGGAGACCACGCCCUGCAGGUACCCGUCACACACCAGCGGGCCCCCGGAGUCACCCUGCGGCGGGGGACAGGGGGACAGGUGAGAAAUGGGACAGGUGGGACAGGUGGGACAGGUGAGACAGGUGAGAUUGGUGGGACAGGUGGGACACAGGUGGGACAGGUGAGACAGGUGGGACACAGGUGGGACAGGUGAGACACAGGUGGGACACAGGUGGGACAGGUGAGACACAGGUGGGACACGGGUGGGACAGAUGAGAUGGGUGAGACACAGGUGGGACAGGUGAGACACAGGUGGGACAGGUGAGACACAGGUGAGAGAUAAGUGAGAAAGAUGGAACAGGUGAAAUAGGUG